ACCCGCACAAGCGGUGGAUGAUGUGGAUUAAUUCGAUGCAACGCGAAAACCUUACCUACCCUUGACAUGUCCGGAAUCCUGCAGAGAUGCGGGAGUGCCCGAAAGGGAAUCGGAACACAGGUGCUGCAUGGCUGUCGUCAGCUCGUGUCGUGAGAUGUUGGGUUAAGUCCCGCAACGAUCGCAACCCUUAUCAUUAGUUGCUACGCAAGGGCACUCUAAUGAGACUGCCGGUGACAAACCGGAGGAAGUGGGGAUGACGUCAAGUCCUCAUGGCCCUUAUGGGUAGGGCUUCACACGUCAUACAAUGGUCGGUACAGAGGGUUGCCAAGCCGCGAGGUGGAGCCAAUCCCAGAAAGCCGAUCGUAGUCCGGAUUGUUCUCUGCAACUCGAGAGCAUGAAGUCGGAAUCGCUAGUAAUCGCGGAUCAGCAUGUCGCGGUGAAUACGUUCCCGGGUCUU
rnacentral:rRNA from 1 species